rnacentral:lncRNA from 1 species
UGGAUUUGGAUUGUUGAAAAUAAAUUAAUUUCUUUCUUAAUGUUUUGUUGCAGCUCCUUGAUUAGUAGUUGUAUCAUGCAGUAGUAGGUGCCAGUUUACAUCUGCAUAGGUUUCAUAUUAUUGUAGUCUUAGCAAUGGAAUAUGUAGUUAUGAUUCUAGGUUACAUACUGUAGAUUAGCUUGAUGAUUAUAUCAUUAAUAAUGGCCACAGUCUCGUAAACUGCGGAAAAGUUUGAGAGCUGUGAGCGGGAAAGUGGCAACUGAAGCUGAAUGUAAACUUAAAUAGUUUCAGAACUGGACAUAGAUAUUAGUAAUGACAACUGAUGAUUAAUAAUUAUGAGUUAGGCUAUGAAUAUAAUUAAUGAUUCAAAAA